ensembl:misc_RNA
CUAACAGCACUGGAGAUCAAAGUGUUCUUUUUAUUCAUAGAACAGGUACAGCAUGGGCAGCAGAAGUGCAAACGUCCCACACAAUGUUCCAGCAGUGUCCUUCAACCCUGACCCAGAAAAGCUGUCAGUGAGAAGAGUGCAGUCUCCAUUCCUGUUUAAGUGUGGAUCUCU